CUCUGAUUCCAGUGCUCCCAGCUCUGAUUCCAGUGAUCCCAGCUCUGAUUCCAGUGAUCCCAGUGCUGAUUUCCUCAAUCCCAGCCCUGAUUUCCUC